rnacentral:rRNA from 1 species
UACAGAGGGUGCGAGCGUUAAUCGGAAUUACUGGGCGUAAAGCGUGCGUAGACGGUUAUUUAAGUCGGGUGUGAAAGCCCCGGGCUCAACCUGGGAAUUGCAUUCGAGACUGAAUAGCUAGGGUACGGUAGAGGGAAGCGGAAUUUCCGGUGUAGCGGUGAAAUGCGUAGAUAUCGGAAGGAACAUCAGUGGCGAAAGCGGCUUCCUGGACCAGUACCGACGUUCAGGCACGAAAUCGUGGGGAUCAAACAGG